AAGGAUCAUUACCGAGAGAGGGGCUUCGCGCUCCCGGGGGCUUUGGCCCCCAACUCUUCACCCAUUGUUUAUCUACCUUUGUUGCUUUGGCGGACCCCGGGGUCUCUCUCGCGUUAGCUUUCGGGCCGGCGAGCGUCCGUCAGAGGCCUAUUAAAUUCUAUCUAAUCAGUGACGUCCGAGUUAAAAACAAUAGUAAAAACUUUCAACAACGGAUCUCUUGGUUCCAGCAUCGAUGAAGAACGCAGCGAAAUGCGAUAAGUAAUGCGAAUUGCAGAAUUCAGUGAAUCAUCGAAUCUUUGAACGCACAUUGCGCCCCCCGGUAUUCCGGGGGGCAUGCCUGUUCGAGCGUCAUUACACCCCUCAAGCGUAGCUUGGUAUUGGGCCUCGCCCCCGCGGCGUGCCCGAAAAGCAGUGGCGGUCCGGGUCGACUUUAAGCGUAGUAAGAUUUAUCCCGCUUUGAAAGUUCGCCCCGCGGCCGGCCAGACAACCCCGUAUAUCUAAUAUUUGACCUCGGAUCAGGUAGGGAUACCCGCUGAACUUAA
rnacentral:rRNA from 1 species